UACGGAGGGAGCUAGCGUUGUUCGGAAUUACUGGGCGUAAAGCGCACGUAGGCGGCUUUGUAAGUUAGAGGUGAAAGCCCGGGGCUCAACUCCGGAACUGCCUUUAAGACUGCAUCGCUUGAAUCCAGGAGAGGUGAGUGGAAUUCCGAGUGUAGAGGUGAAAUUCGUAGAUAUUGGGAGGAACAUCGGUGGCGAAGGCGGCCAUCUGGGAAGCGACUGACGCUGAGACGCGAAAGCGUGGGUAGCAAACAGG
rnacentral:rRNA from 1 species